rnacentral:rRNA from 1 species
AUCUCUCGGGGUUACAGCCUUGCUGAAUUAUUCACCCUUGUCUUUUGCGUACUUCUUGUUUCCUUGGUGGGUUCGCCCACCACUAGGACAAACAUAAACCUUUUGUAAUUGCAAUCAGCGUCAGUAACAAAUUAAUAAUUACAACUUUCAACAACGGAUCUCUUGGUUCUGGCAUCGAUGAAGAACGCAGCGAAAUGCGAUAAGUAGUGUGAAUUGCAGAAUUCAGUGAAUCAUCGAAUCUUUGAACGCACAUUGCGCCCUUUGGUAUUCCAAAGGGCAUGCCUGUUCGAGCGUCAUUUGUACCCUCAAGCUUUGCUUGGUGUUGGGCGUCUUGUCUCUAGCUUUGCUGGAGACUCGCCUUAAAGUAAUUGGCAGCCGGCCUACUGGUUUCGGAGCGCAGCACAAGUCGCACUCUCUAUCAGCAAAGGUCUAGCAUCCAUUAAGCCUUUUUUCAACUUUUGACCUCGGAUCAGGUAGGGAUACCCGCUGAACUUAAGCAUAUCAAUAAGCGGAGGA